rfam:Manacus vitellinus contig47454, whole genome shotgun sequence.
CCCCUGGUGGUCUAGUGGUUAGGAUGCGGCGCUCUCACCGCCGGGACCCGGGUUGGAUUCCUGGUCAGGGAA